rnacentral:rRNA from 1 species
CAAUAGCGUAUAUUAAGGUUGUUGCGGUAAAAAAGCUCGUAGUUGGAUUUCUGUUGAGAGCGACCGGUCCAUACCAUGUAUGCGUAUCUGGCUUGCUCUCGGCAUCCUCUCGAUAGACGUUACUGCGCUUGAUUGCGUGGUGCGGAUCUCGGGACUUUUACUUUGAGGAAAUUAGAGUGUUCACGGCAGGCUUUCGCCAGAAUACAUUAGCAUGGAAUAAUACUAUAGGAUCUUGGUUCUAUUUUGUUGGUUUCUAGAAUUGAGAUAAUGAUUAAUAGGGACAAUUGGGGGCAUUCGUAUCAACACGUCAGAGGUGGAAUUCUUGGAUUGUGUUGCGACGAACUACUGCGAAAGCAUUUGCCAAGGAUGUUUUCAUUGA